rnacentral:tRNA from 1 species
UGGGGUGUCGACAAGCGGUAAGUCAACGGACUUUGGAUCCGUCAUCCCAGGUUCGAAUCCUGGCACCCCAGACA